rnacentral:rRNA from 1 species
GUUAGGAAUAUUGGACAAUGGGCGCAAGCCUGAUCCAGCCAUGCCACGUGAGUGAUGAAGGCCUUCGGGUUGUAAAGCUCUUUAGCCGAUGAUUAUAAUGACUGUAGUCGGAAAAUAAGCCCCGGCUAACUUCGUGCCAGCAGCCGCGGUAAUACGAAGGGGGCGAGCGUUAUUCGGAAUCACUGGGCGUAAAGCGUGCGUAGGCGGCUUUGCAAGUUGGGAGUGAAAGCCCAGGGCUCAACCCUGGAAUUGCUCUCAAAACUGCAAGGCUCGAAUUCGGGAGAGGAUAGCGGAAUUGUCAGUGUAGCAGUGAAAUGCGUAGAUAUUGACAGGAACACCAGUGGCGUAAGCGGCUAUCUGGACCGAUAUUGACGCUGAGGCACGAAAGCGUGGGGAUCAAACAGGAUUAGAAACCCUUGUAGUCC